UCAAGUUAUUAAGGGUGCAGGGCGGAUGCCUUGGCACUAGGAGCCGAUGAAGGACGUGAUAAGCUGCGAUAAGCUUCGGGGAGUUGCACGUAAACUUUGAUCCGAAGAUUUCCGAAUGAGGAAACUCACUUAGAGUAAUGUCUAAGUAUCAUUAAGUGAAUACAUAGCUUAAUGAGGGGAACUCAGGGAACUGAAACAUCUAAGUACCUGAAGGAAGAGAAAGAAAUUCGAUUCCGUAAGUAGCGGCGAGCGAACGCGGAUUAGCCCAAACCAAUAAAGUUUUCUUUAUUGGGGUUGCGGACAUAUCAUAACGAAGAGGUAUCGUAAUUGAAGAGGUUUGGAAAGACCCACCACAGAAGGUAAUAGUCCUGUAUGUUAAACGAGAAGACUUUAGAUAUGAUCCAGAGUACCACGGGACACGUGAAACCCUGUGGGAAGCAGGAGGGACCACCCUCCAAGGCUAAAUACUACCUAGUGACCGAUAGCGUAUAGUACCGUGAGGGAAAGGUGAAAAGAACCCCGGGAGGGGAGUGAAAUAGAACCUGAAACCCUGCACUUACAAGCUGUGGAAGCACAUUUCUUGUGUGACCGCGUACUUUUUGUAGAACGGGCCAACGAGUUACGUUAAGUAGCAAGGUUAAGCACUUAAGGUGCGGAGCCGUAGCGAAAGCGAGUUUUAACUGAGCGUUCAGUUACUUGACGUAGACCCGAAACCGGGCGACCUACCCAUGAGCAGGAUGAAGCGAAAGUAAAAUUUCGUGGAGGUCCGAACCCACGAGCGUUGAAAAGCUCGGGGAUGACUUGUGGGUAGCGGUGAAAUUCCAAUCGAGCCCGGAGAUAGCUGGUUCUCCCCGAAAUAGCUUUAGGGCUAGCCUCAAGGUGAGAGAUACGGAGGUAGAGCACUGAAUGUCCUAGGGGGUAUUGCACCUACCGAAGACUAUCAAACUCCGAAUGCCGUCAUCUUAUACUUGGGAGUCAGACUGUGGGUGAUAAGAUUCAUAGUCGAAAGGGCAACAGCCCAGAUCGUCAGCUAAGGUCCCUAAAUGUAAGUUAAGUGGUAAAGGAUGUGGGAUUGCACAGACAACCAGGAUGUUGGCUUAGAAGCAGCCACUCAUUCAAAGAGUGCGUAAUAGCUCACUGGUCGAGUGAUCCUGCGCCGAAGAUUUCCGGGGCUAAAACUUACUACCGAAGCUACGGCAUCAGUAAUGAUGGGUAGGGGAGCUUCCCAUACGGGUUGAAGCAUGACCGUAAGGACAUGUGGACAGUAUGGGAGUGAGAAUGUUGGCAUGAGUAGCGAGAUGUGGGUGAGAAUCCCACAGGCCGUAAACCCAAGGUUUCCAGGGGAAGGUUCGUCCGCCCUGGGUUAGUCGGGACCUAAGCUGAGGCCGAAAGGCGUAGGUGAUGGACAACAGGUUGAUAUUCCUGUACUACCGAUAACCGUUUGAGAGAAGGGAUGACACAGUAGGAUAAGCUAAGCACACUGUUGGUUAUGUGUGCCCAAGCAUUGAGGCAGUCAAAGUAGGCAAAUCCGCUUUGAUAAUGCUGGGAUGUGAUGGGGAGCGAAAUUUAGUAGCGAAGUAGCUGAUUUCACACUGUCAAGAAAAGUCUCUAUCGAGGUUAAAGGUACCCGUACCGCAAACCGACACAGGUGGGUGAGGAGAGUAUCCUAAGGCCAGCGAGAGAACUGUUGUUAAGGAACUCGGCAAAAUGACCCCGUAACUUAGGGAUAAGGGGUGCCACCAUCAGGUGGCCGCAGAGAAUAGGCCCAAGCGACUGUUUACCAAAAACAUAGGUUUCUGCUAAGUCGCAAGACGAUGUAUAGGAGCUGACGCCUGCCCGGUGCUGGAAGGUUAAGGGGAUCUGUUAGAGCAAUCGAAGCAGUGAACUUAAGCCCCAGUAAACGGCGGCCGUAACUAUAACGGUCCUAAGGUAGCGAAAUUCCUUGUCGGGUAAGUUCCGACCCGCACGAAAGGCGUAACGAUUUGGGCACUGUCUCAACAACAGACUCGGUGAAAUUGUAAUUCCGGUGAAGAUGCCGGAUACCUGCGACAGGACGGAAAGACCCCAUGGAGCUUUACUGUAGCUUGACAUUGGGUCUUGGUACUACAUGUACAGGAUAGGUGGGAGGCUUUGAAACCAGGACGCCAGUUUUGGCGGAGCCAUCCUUGGGAUACCACCCUUGUAGUACUGGGACUCUAACCAUAGGCCAUGAAUCUGGUCUUGGGACACUGUCAGGUGGGCAGUUUGACUGGGGCGGUCGCCUCCCAAAAGGUAACGGAGGCGCUCAAAGGUUCUCUCAGUACGGUCGGAAAUCGUACGUAGAGUGUAAAGGCAAAAGAGAGCUUGAUUGCAAGACAUACAGGUCGAGCAAGGAUGAAAAUCGGACUUAGUGAUCCGGUGGUUCUGCGUGGAAGGGCCAUCGCUCAACGGAUAAAAGCUACCCUGGGGAUAACAGGCUUAUCUCCCCCAAGAGUCCACAUCGACGGGGAGGUUUGGCACCUCGAUGUCGGCUCAUCACAUCCUGGGGCUGUAGUAG
rnacentral:rRNA from 1 species